UAAAAUACAACAUUUUCGAGCAUUUUCAAAUUGUUAAUGGAAAAACUUAAUUAUUAAUAAAAAAAAAUUUUAGUUUCUCAAUUGUUAACUUCUUACCUUCCAAGUAAUUUGACUAUACAUUAAUAGUUAAUUCCAAAGAUAUUUCUUUUUAUAUGCCUAUAAAUAAUAAAUUAUGACUAGUAGACAUUAGAACUAGCUUUUAAGUACCUGAUCAAUACUAAGCUGACCUAAGGAUUUAGCAAAAAAAACCUUUUCACAAAGUACAUUGAUCUCUGUCUUUGACAUUCUCAAUAUAACUUCCUACAACACUCAUCGUCUUCGAUUUCAUUUCCGCCUCGAAUUUCACGCUUAAUAUUCAUCUUAAUCCUAUUUCAACCAAAAACUUUUCAAAGAUUAAGGGAUUUUCACACGUACACGCGUAAUUCCUGUCAAUGUUUUGCCCGGUCUAGAUAGACGUAUGCUCGGUGAUUUCUCUUACGAGAAAGGGACGAAGAGAAGGUGAAAUGACGAAGGGUGCAAAUAUUGUGCACCGUUGUCGCAAUAUUAUCGUUUCGAAAAGACGCACACACCAGCUCGGGCCACGCUUUAUACUCGUGGGUUCGCUUGCAAACAGAUAACGUGCGACCCCGAGUGGUUUACCGGCUAGUCCUGUUUGGCUUACGGCUUACGAAGAUAUCCCACCACCUCCAGGAACACGCGUUGCUUGUAUAGGAUCAUCAUAGGAGAAAACUCGCGAGUUCAACUGGAGAUCGGUAUCGUGUCAACUUCUACGAAAGAACAAAGAGAUUUUCUCUAGAAUGGAAGAAAUAGUUUUUAAAGUCGACCUUCAUACUCCAGAAAAAUGUUAAACCAUGCGACAAUUUCCUAGACACCAGUUGAUACAUCGUGGACCUUUUUCUGUUUUCCAUAAUACCCGUGAAAAUCUGGAGCAGUCCCGUUUCUUUUUCCUUUGCAUACCUUUGACCAUUUCUAUGGGAAUUACUCCAGUGAUUUGUUGCUUCUGUCGUGGAAAUCGAAAAACAGAAUACGAACAUGGAAUAUCACCCAUCGACGCGAUAUGGCUUGUUUGUAUAUUUCGACACUCGGAAUGAAGAUGGGAUUUGUAUCGAGAAUCGAUCGAUAUCGCUACAAUGCUCUCAAUAUUGUGGAAACAAUUCUAAUGUUUCGUAAAUCUUGUAAAGAUUUAAAAAAGAUAUCGUAAUAAAAUGUUAAAUAAAAAAUCUGGAGAAAUUAUAGCGUGAUAGAUUUAAGAGACCAUUGCUAUAUAAAUUUUGAUCACGAUAUCAAUUUUGAUAUUUGCAAAGAAAUAAAUGAUAAUCGUAAUAAAGAAAAAAGAAACAAAAGGAAUAAAAUAUUUAAAAAUUUCUUAAAAAUUGAAACAACCCAAAGUUUCACCAUAUCGAAGACUCUCUAUCUCUUUUUCUCCAUGUUUCGAGUCCUUUCUUUUUGGUUAAACAAACGAAAGAAAAGAAAUUUCUUUCUUUAGGAAAUAUUUUAUGCGUGCACCGAAUUUUUGAAAACCGGUAAAGAACAGAAUCGCAUUGAACACGAGGGUGAAAGUACAAGUACCGAAAAGACAGUUAGUUUUGGUUCGUAGGAUCCCUUCGUCCGCACACCUCGAACGAGAAGCAUGCAAAUACGACGGACUCGUCAAAGGGACGAAGAGUCAUUCGAAAAUAUAUAAUUCAGACCGUAAAUGGCCCUCUUACGGACUGGUAAAACGGUUAACUUUUAACGUGACCGGCUUAGGUAUGGAACCUUGGAAAGCGUAGUUUCCAUGCGAAAGGAAAAAGAAGCGACGAAAAGUGUAGGACAGAUCGCAUUAUCCUUUGAUAAAACGACUUCUUGGCGGGCUAAAGGUGGCGGAGGGGAGAGAGAAGGGUGAAGGGAAGGAGGAAAAAUGCGAAACUCGUUAUUAAGAAAACGAAUCAUAAUGGAAGGUGCUUGAAAGAUUGAUGGGACAAAGGACGAGGAGAUAGAAGUUGGUGUAAAAGUUGGCUCUCUGUAUAAUUUUAUACAGGGCCUAAGAAUCAGGAUGAGGCUGGUGUUAAACGUUCCGUUUGAUCGAUGUGAAUGUUGAAGAAUAAAAUUUCUUAACGGAAUUUUUAAGG
rnacentral:lncRNA from 1 species